CUAGUUACCUGGCAGGAAAGAUGCCAUGAUCACGAUGGUGGCUUUCCCAGCACGACGCUUGUCCAUUGCACUCAGGAAGUGCUGACUUUAGGGAUUUCCCCAAAUGUGGGAAACUUGACCUCGGAAUUUGUGCUAGUAGGGGUAUGUAUUUGCGCUCUCCGC
ensembl:snRNA U1 U1 spliceosomal RNA